rnacentral:tRNA from 1 species
AGGGCUGUAGCUUAGUGGUAGAGCGUUUCGUUUACACCGAAGAUGUCGGCGGUUCGAGUCCGUCCAGCCCUA